rnacentral:snoRNA from 1 species
AUUCUUCUGGUUUUUAAAUAUGAUGAAUGGCUUAUUCUCGCGCUUGCGAGAGAGGUGUCCGCAGCACCUUGUUACGCAUGGACACCGCCUGUUCUGAUC